UACGUAGGGGGCAAGCGUUGUUCGGAAUUACUGGGCGUAAAGGGCGCGUAGGCGGCACGACAAGUCGGGAGUGAAAGCCCGGGGCUCAACCCCGGAGGGUCUCUCGAUACUGUCGAGCUAGAGUGCGGAAGAGGCAACCGGAAUUCUCAGUGUAGCGGUGAAAUGCGUAGAUAUUGAGAAGAACACCAGAGGCGAAGGCGGGUUGCUGGGCCGACACUGACGCUGAGGCGCGAAAGCCAGGGGAGCGAAUGGG
rnacentral:rRNA from 1 species